ensembl:misc_RNA
AAAGGACUUAUAUGAAACACAAGAUAGCAAAGAAGUGGAAGAAAAAUUAAAUUAAUGCCAGCAAUUCAGCUUUGCUUAA